rnacentral:lncRNA from 1 species
CCUUUAUAUGGUUCUUUAAUGUUAGUUGCUGGUUACUAAAUAAAAUAAAAUACAAAAAGGUAUUAUACUCUUUACAACUUAAUUUUAUUAACUUUAUUAAAAAAAAACCUAACUGGGCUUAAAUUAAUACAGACAAACUGGGCAUUAAUACAGGGCCAUUACAGAAAAACAGAGCCAUUACAGAAAAACAGGGCCAUUACAGAAAAAAACAGGGCC